rnacentral:rRNA from 1 species
UACGAAGGGGGCUAGCGUUGUUCGGAAUUACUGGGCGUAAAGCGCACGUAGGCGGUUUGUUAAGUCAGGGGUGAAAUCCCGGAGCUCAACUCCGGAACUGCCUUUGAUACUGGCAAUCUAGAGACUGGAAGAGGUUAGUGGAAUUCCCAGUGUAGAGGUGAAAUUCGUAGAUAUUGGGAAGAACACCAGUGGCGAAGGCGGCUAACUGGUCCAGUACUGACGCUGAGGUGCGAAAGCGUGGGGAGCAAACAGG